ACAAAAGCAAAAUAGAUAAAGAUUAUCUCCGUGUUAAUGAAAAUUAGCACGAAAAAAAUAAACGAAUUAGAUCUAUA
rnacentral:tRNA from 1 species